rnacentral:rRNA from 1 species
AAUCAACGCUGGCGGCGUGCCUAACACAUGCAAGUCGAACGAGAAAGGGGACUUCGGUCCCUGAGUACAGUGGCGCACGGGUGAGUAACACGUGACUUAUCUACCCUCGAGUGGGGAAUAACUUCGGGGAAACCGAGGCUAAUACCGCAUAAUACCCACGGGUCAAAGGAGCAAUUCGCUUGAGGAGGAGGUCGCGGCCGAUUAGUUAGUUGGCGGGGUAAUGGCCCCACCCAAGACGGUGAUCGGUAUCCGGCCUGAGAGGGCGCACGGACACACUGGAACUGAAACACGGUCCAGACUCCUACGGGAGGCAGCAGUGGGGAAUUUUGCGCAAUGGGGGAAACCCUGACGCAGCAACGCCGCGUGGAGGAUGAAGUCUCUUGGGACGUAAACUCCUUUCGAUCGGGACGAUUAUGACGGUACCGGAAGAAGAAGCCCCGGCUAACUUCGUG